rnacentral:lncRNA from 1 species
CCCAAGGGCACUCUACCACUGAACAUUUUUCUUUUCUUUUCUUCUCUUUUUCUUUCUUUUCUUUCUUUCUUUUUUUUUUUAACUUUGAGAUGGUCUCACCAAAUUGCCCAGGCUGGCUUCAAUUUGCCAUCCUCCUGCCCUCAACCUCCCAAGUCACUGAAAUUACAGGUGUGCUUCACCAUACCCAGUUCUAAUCCUAUAUUCUUAACCCCCAUUCUUAACAAGUUAUUAAUCUUUACAUUAGAUUUUCCCUGUUCACAUAACUGGCCCAGUGUCCUGUCUCAGGAUUGGAUCCUGGCUGAUAUAACAUGCACAAACUCUUUUCACUUGUCAUUCGAGAACAAAAUACUUCAAAGAAUAUGGAGAACACAGGAGUGGGGGGGGGAUAAAAAAAAAACACACACUUGUACUGUGCUUCUCAUGUGUCAGGGACAUCUCCAGGAACUUUACACCUUAUUAAAUCAUUUAAUCUACAUGACAGCCCUCACCACAACAACUAUGAAGUAAGCAGCAUGAUCAGUCCUUUCACAGAUGAGGAAAUUGAGGCAUAGCGACAUUAUAUGAUUUAUAAGAGUACAUUGUAAAGCUGUAUGAUUGAGGAGUCCUGCCUUAACACUACAUAGAACAGACUGAUCAUUUUGUCACCUGAGGAGACCCUGGAAUACCUGCCAUUAGGAAAGUGCCCCUUAGGGGUUACCUUCAAGAGACACUAGCCAGGGCUCAGAGAAGCCCUUUGGGAUGGUGGCCAAAAGGUCCUACCUUGAAAUAUAGGAAAGACCAGCUAGAGGUGAAGACAGGAGAGAUGAAGACUAGGGCCCAGGCAUACUGGGGCUUCCCAAUGACUAGAUUCUCUAAUGUGAGGAGUCCUAACAAUAACAAAAACAAAACAAAAAACUACCAAC